GUACAUUGAUCAGUUAGGUGCUACUGUGAAAGGCACUGUCUUAUAUGUUUCAGCUGACAAUGUUGCUGCUCAUUCUCUUGCAGGUUUUUUCGAGAGUUUUACUGUGGAGAGGUUCUGCCGCUUUUGCAUGGCCACAAGAAACGAGACUCAGCACACUGAAGUUGGCACCAGAAACUUUGAACAACGGACUGAGAAUAUGCACAACAGGCACAUUGAGGAGUAGUCCAAUCACAUCCAGUUCCAGUGGAUUGCAGUUUUAUGAAGACAGUGACCAAACUUGAUGGGUUCUCACGAGAAGAUGCUCUUGAGGGUUAUCCUAUGUGAUGGAGAUAUAAGGAAGAUCAUCCUUGCAAAGAAACCAGAUUCUAUUGAUGACUUGGUUGUAUCACUAAAAGAAAGUUUAAAGGUUGAUUCAAUUUUUCUCUUCAGUAUGAAG